UUUAAAUAAAGUAAAAAUUAAUUAUUUUUCACAUUAAAAUUAAUUAUGUAUAAAAAAACGUUUUCUUUAAUAGUAUUUCUGUAUAUUUUUAUAGUUAUAAUCUACUUAAAUACACAACAAUCCAACGGAUGCUAUUCUCAUUAUAGUCCAUUCAGUAACAUUGUAAGGGCCCAUCUCCUUUUUAUCAGAGCAAACGGUCAGAAAAUAUUCUGCACAAGAUAUUGCCAAUCGUAUGAUUACGUUUGUUGUAUAUGCCGAAAUAGAAUUUCUUAGAAUUCAGUCAAGCCACUGGAAAAUAUCUACUAUCAUCUCAACUUAGGCCAUAUUUAAUUAUCGAUGACAUUUUAAAACAUUAUAUCAUAUAUUACCAUAAAUAAUAAAUAUAGUGUUACCAUUUAUUUGUGAAAAAUUAUUAUUAUUAAAUACCGAGAAGAGAAAAACCCAUAAAAUCUUAUUAAACAUUCAUAAGAAAAAUUGACACAUCCCUUUCUAAAUUUCUUUUUUUUAAAUUUCUCCUUAAUUUAUAAUUUCAUUAUUUAUCACAAUUAUAAUAAUCUUGCAUUCAAAAUUUUUUAAUAAUCUAUUUAUAUUAAUUUUAUUUUACGGUAUUAUAUUGUAUAUACAUUUUUAGCCAUUUAUUGUUACAUUAUUAUCAUGGUUUAUAUGGUACAUAUUUUAUUCACAAUUGAUUAAUCUAUUUAUAUUAAUUAAAUUUUACGGUAUUAUAUUGUAUAUACAU